CAGCAGCCGCGGUAAUACGAGGGGGGCAAGCGUUGUUCGGAAUUAUUGGGCGUAAGGGCGCGUAGGCGGUUUGACAAGUUUGGUGUGAAAUCUAUGGGCUCAACCCAUAGCCUGCAUCGAAAACUGUCGGGCUUGAGUAUGGGAGAGGUGAGUGGAAUUUCUGGUGUAGCGGUGAAAUGCGUAGAUAUCGGAAGGAACACCUGUGGCGAAAGCGGCUCACUGGACCAUUACUGACGCUGAGGCGCGAAAGCUAGGGGAGCAAACAGGAUUAGAUACCCGCGUAGUCCCUGUCUCUUAUACA
rnacentral:rRNA from 1 species